AAUGGAUCUAUUCUUGAUGUCUUUGAAAGAGCGAUGCUCUUACUGAUUUUUUUAUUUUAUUUUUUGUUUUUUCAUGAUAAACCCUAAUUUUUAUGCAAUUGCAGGAGUCUGAAUCUUCUUCGAACACAAGAGGUGAUGAGCUUCUUUAAGACUUCUUCCCCUACAAGGAACUCUUGAAUGGGAUCCUAUGAGAAGUUGAAGGAAAGAAUCUGAUCAAAUUGGGCCAUAAUCUGAAGAAAUGUGUUUAAGCUACGACAAGGUGUG